rnacentral:tRNA from 1 species
GAGCUGCAUUGGCGGGAUUUCGCCGUCUUCGUUUCUCUUUCUUCGCGGACGAACACGCGCUGGGGCUGCGAGCAUGCAGAAUCCCUGGUCCUUAACAGGAUAAGCGUUAGGGGCUUGUAGCUCAGUUGGUUAGAGCGCGCGCUUGAUAAGCGUGAGGUCGGAAGUUCAAGUCUUCCCAGGCCCACCACUUUCAUCGAGUGAGCAUUCGUCUUCUGGUUACGGGGCCAUAGCUCAGCUGGGAGAGCGCGUGCUUUGCAAGCAUGAGGUCGUCGGUUCGAUCCCGUCUGGCUCCACCAGAUGGUUUGAUCACCGAGAUCUUGUACCGUCGUCCGCGAAACAUCACUUCGCAUCCUGCUAGUCUGGAUAGACAGCAAGAUGCGUGUUUUCUGACAUCGUAAAGAGGAGAUCGAUCCGAGUUGGGUCGUGUAGCAGAUUGCUGCGCGAGCCUUCAUUAUCUCCGGAUCAUUUUCGGCGCUCGGCGCUGACCGCAAGGUUGGCUCUUGAGUUGUAAAAUGAUCCUUUUAGCGAAGCUUGACCGCCUCGCUAUCGGAACGAUCUUACGAAGCAAGCUGGUCUUUCUAGUCAAUGUCCGGCUGCAGAUAGCGUUCAUCGAGGGCGCGUGCCGCAAGGCAAUUCUGCAGACAACAUUCUGCCGAGUGUGUGGACAUUGAUAAUGAGAGCAAUCAAGUGCCUUA